rnacentral:rRNA from 1 species
UCGAACGACCGCGGCUGACGAAGAAAUCUGCCGUUCAUCUGCUUUCGCAGCCCGAACACGGAAGUGAAGCUCGCGCGCCGAUGGUAGUUGGGGGUCUCCCCCUGUGAGAGUAGGACGUCGCUGGGC